rnacentral:misc_RNA from 1 species
GAUGAAGAACGCAGCGAAAUGCGAUACUUGGUGUGAAUUGCAGAAUCCCGUGAACCAUCGAGUCUUUGAACGCAAGUUGCGCCCGAAGCCAUUAGGCCGAGGGCACGCCUGCCUGGGCGUCACACGUCGUUGCCCCCCCAUCUACUCCUUCGGGAUUGCGGGGGGCGGAUGAUGGCCUCCCGUGCGCCUCGCCGCGCGGUUGGCAUAAAUGCCAAGUCCUCGGCGACGCACGCCACGACAAUCGGUGGUUGCGAAACCUCGGUUGCCCGUCGUGUGCGGUCGUCGCGCAUCGAGGGCUCGAAAAAAUUGCCGGGUUCCGGCUCGGCUUUCAACGCGACCCCAGGUCAGGCGGGGUUACCCGCUGAAUUUAAGCAUAUCAAUAAGCGGAA